CUUGACAUCCCGAGAAUCUCCUGGAAACAGGAGAGUGCCUUUCGGGGAACUCGGAGACAGGUGCUGCAUGGCUGUCGUCAGCUCGUGUCGUGAGAUGUUGGGUUAAGUCCCGCAACGAGCGCAACCCUUGUCUUAAUUGCCAUCAUUAAGUUGGGCACUUUAAAGAAACUGCCGGUGUUAAACCGGAGGAAGUGGGGAUGACGUCAAGUCCUCAUGGCCUUUAUGCCCAGGGCUACACACGUGCUACAAUGGGUGGUACAAAGAGACGCAAGCUCGCGAGAGCAAGCAAACCUCAAAAAGCCAUCCUCAGUUCGGAUUGGAGUCUGCAACUCGACUCCAUGAAGUUGGAAUCGCUAGUAAUCGCGGAUCGGCAUGCCGCGGUCGAAUACGUUCCGGCCUU
rnacentral:rRNA from 1 species